CCUACGGGUGGCAGCAGUGAGGAAUAUUGGUCAAUGGGCGCGAGCCUGAACCAGCAAAGUCGCGUGAGGGAAGACGGUCCUAUGGAUUGUAAACCCCGUUUGUCGGGGAGCAAAAGACGCCACGCGUGGAGUUCCGAGAGGACCCGAAGAAACAGCAACGGCUAACACCGUGCCAGCAGCCGCGUUAAUACGGAGGAUGCGAACGUUAUCCGGUUUUAUUGGGUUUAAAGGGUGCGCAGGCGGAAGAUCAAGUCAGCGGUAAAAUUGAGAGUCUCAACCUCUUCGAGCCGUUGAAACUGGUUUUCUUGAGUGAGCGAGAAGUAUGCGGAAUGCGUGGUGUAGCGGUGAAAUGCAUAGAUAUCACGCAGAACUCCGAUUGCGAAGGCAGCAUACCGGCGCUCAACUGACGCUGAUGCACGAAAGUGUGGGUAUCGAACAGGAUUAGAUACCCUAGUAGUC
rnacentral:rRNA from 1 species